GUACAAGGUUUCCGUAGGUGAACCUGCGG
rnacentral:rRNA from 1 species